rnacentral:rRNA from 1 species
CAAAUCCGGUACUCAUUAAGGCUGAGCUGUGAUGGGGAGAAGACAUUGUGUCUUCGAGUCGUUGAUUUCACACUGCCGAGAAAAGCCUCUAGAUAGAAAAUAGGUGCCCGUACCGCAAACCGACACAGGUAGUCAAGAUGAGAAUUCUAAGGUGAGCGAGCGAACUCUCGUUAAGGAACUCGGCAAAAUGACCCCGUAACUUCGGGAGAAGGGGUGCUCUUUAGGGUUAACGCCCAGAAGAGCCGCAGUGAAUAGGCCCAAGCGACUGUUUAUCAAAAACACAGGUCUCUGCUAAACCGUAAGGUGAUGUAUAGGGGCUGACGCCUGCCCGGUGCUGGAAGGUUAAGAGGAGUGGUUAGCUUCUGCGAAGCUACGAAUCGAAGCCCCAGUAAACGGCGGCCGUAACUAUAACGGUCCUAAGGUAGCGAAAUUCCUUGUCGGGUAAGUUCCGACCCGCACGAAAGGCGUAACGAUUUGGGCACUGUCUCAACGAGAGACUCGGUGAAAUCAUAGUACCUGUGAAGAUGCAGGUUACCCGCGACAGGACGGAAAGACCCCGUGGAGCUUUACUGUAGCCUGAUAUUGAAAUUCGGCACAGCUUGUACAGGAUAGGUAGGAGCCUUUGAAACGUGAGCGCUAGCUUACGUGGAGGCGCUGGUGGGAUACUACCCUAGCUGUGUUGGCUUUCUAACCCGCACCACUUAUCGUGGUGGGAGACAGUGUCAGGCGGGCAGUUUGACUGGGGCGGUCGCCUCCUAAAAGGUAACGGAGGCGCUCAAAGGUUCCCUCAGAAUGGUUGGAAAUCAUUCAUAGAGUGUAAAGGCAUAAGGGAGCUUGACUGCGAGACCUACAAGUCGAGCAGGGUCGAAAGACGGACUUAGUGAUCCGGUGGUUCCGCAUGGAAGGGCCAUCGCUCAACGGAUAAAAGCUACCCCGGGGAUAACAGGCUUAUCUCCCCCAAGAGUUCACAUCGACGGGGAGGUUUGGCACCUCGAUGUCGGCUCAUCGCAUCCUGGGGCUGUAGUCGGUCCCAAGGGUUGGGCUGUUCGCCCAUUAAAGCGGUACGCGAGCUGGGUUCAGAACGUCGUGAGACAGUUCGGUCCCUAUCCGUCGUGGGCGUAGGAAAUUUGAGAGGAGCUGUCCUUAGUACGAGAGGACCGGGAUGGACAUACCUCUGGUGUACCAGUUGUCGUGCCAACGGCAUAGCUGGGUAGCUAUGUGUGGACGGGAUAAGUGCUGAAAGCAUCUAAGCAUGAAGCCCCCCUCAAGAUGAGAUUUCCCAACUUCGGUUAUAAGAUCCCUCAAAGAUGAUGAGGUUAAUAGGUUCGAGGUGGAAGCAUGGUGACAUGUGGAGCUGACGAAUACUAA